rnacentral:rRNA from 1 species
UACGGGGGGGGCAAGCGUUGUUCGGAAUUACUGGGCGUAAAGGGCUCGUAGGUGGCCAACUAAGUCAGACGUGAAAUCCCUCGGCUUAACCGGGGAACUGCGUCUGAUACUGGAUGGCUUGAGUUUGGGAGAGGGACGCGGAAUUCCAGGUGUAGCGGUGAAAUGCGUAGAUAUCUGGAGGAACACCGGUGGCGAAGGCGGCAUCCUGGACCAAUAUUGACGCUGAGGAGCGAAAGCUAGGGGAGCAAACGGG